UUUGGGCAAGCUUCUUUAUCCUUU
rnacentral:siRNA from 1 species